UACGUAGGGUGCGAGCGUUGUCCGGAAUUACUGGGCGUAAAGAGCUCGUAGGCGGUGUGUCGCGUCGGCCGUGAAAACCUGCAGCUUAACUGUGGGCUUGCGGUCGAUACGGGCAUCACUGGAGUUCGGCAGGGGAGACUGGAAUUCCUGGUGUAGCGGUGAAAUGCGCAGAUAUCAGGAGGAACACCGGUGGCGAAGGCGGGUCUCUGGGCCGAUACUGACGCUGGAACGGCGAAAGCUAGGGGAGCAAACGGG
rnacentral:rRNA from 1 species